AUUUAGGCCAAAAAUGGAGGAUGGAAAACCCACCCCAGAUGCAGACGGCACCAAGCAACAAACUGUAGCCUGAACGGAAUGAAAAGGGAAAGGAGAAGGAAACCUGUCUGUCAUGGUUUAUGUCUGUGGCCCCCAGGUCUCAUGAGUUUGCAUUGUGCAUUUGUGAUUGGUCCAUUGUCUAGAGCUUGGAUUGAUGGUGUCAGUGCUACACCCACAUGGGGUGGAGCCAGGAUGUGAUGUAAUGGCAGGAAGAAGGUGUGUCUUGCUCUUUUGCCGGUUUCUGCCUUGCUGUUUGCAGCCACCAUGAACUGCGGCCCAGCCACGCCAGCCUGCCUUGGAGCCAACUGAGUGUGGACUGAAAUCUCCAAAAACUACUCAAACCAGUGAGUCUGCGUUGAGCUUCCAGGUCUCUUCACUUUUGCUACUGGAUCCUUCAGUCCUCCAGAUAUGCAGAUGGACAUUUUGGAUCCCUCCACCUCUGGCUCCAUGGACCACCACUGGGACUCCUCCACUUCUGAUCCUGUAAGCCCACCUAACAAGUUCCUUGUGGAGCAACACCCACAGGCGCCACCCAGCACCGGCAGCUGCAGCAGCUCCAGCCUCCAGCCAGCGGCUUAAUACAAGGAUCCUGACAUGCUCUUAAGCCAGGAACUGAUGUCACUCUUGCAGGUCUCCAUGGCAACCCUUCAUUCUAAAAGAAGGACAUUUGUAAAUAUGCAUUUUGCUUGUCCUCUUCUUUGAUUCAAAAUAUUAGCCUUUGAGAACAACUCACUUUGUCAGCUAUGUCCUACAAGAAUGAAGACGUAGGACUUCUCACUUGUCCCUUUCUGUUUCCUGGUGCCCCUGCAUUUGUUGGUUCACCAGACCCCCCAGCAAAUGCACACUGAGCUCCUAGGCAGCCCCAGUACCCCUCUAGGUGCUGCAGGGAACAUGGACCAGAGCAAGACCUGGUUGC